UUACUGAAAUCUUUAAUACACAACAGGGUGUUUGACCGUGCAAGUGUGUGUGAGCAGAGUGCACAGCAUACAGCCCUGAGGGGCACCGGAGUUGAGGAUGAUGGGGAGGGGGAAGUGGUUAUGCAAUCUGACUAUCUGAGAUCUGUUAGUUAAGGCCAACACCCAGUUGCCCAGUGGUGCAUUUAGACCGAGGAGCAGGAGUUUGUUCACCAAGGUCUGUGGGACAAUAGUGUUGAAUGCUGAACUGAAAUCCAGAAACAGCAAACUGACGUAAGUGUCCUUGUUUCCUAGGAGUGUCAGGGCCAGGUGCUUGACAGAUGCGAUGGCACCUGUUGGUAGAGCGUUUCUGUCGAACGUGGUGUUACAGAGCAUGUGCACAGCAGCAGACGAUAAGGUGCAAGGCCAAGGUUGACAGCUGGCUGACGUUAUUUUUGGUUUGCUGCUGGCGGCAAAUUUAAGUUUGGCGUUUUUCAUAAAUACAAGAAGGACUCAAAUAGACGUUGAGUAUUUUACUUAAAAGUAACCUUCAACCCAACGUCUUUUUUUCGGAGUUCAAAAUGUUUUUGUUGCAUGCAGAAAUGUAAUUUCGUUUUCUCUGCAGGAGUUCAUCAAUUCCAUAAAUGCAACACAUUAUAGUUUGUUUAUACAUAGCAUAAAGGCAAAACUAAAUGUUGUAUGCAGUGUUAUUUCAUUUUAAAUGUCAAAUGGGUUUUGCGGCUCCCAGUGUUUUCUUUUCUGUGGGAAACGGGUCCAAGUGGCUCUUUCAGUGGUAAAGGUUGCUGACCCCUG